UACGAAGGGGAGCUAGCGUUGUUCGGAAUCACUGGGCGUAAAGGGCGCGUAGGCGGCUUUAUAAGUCGGGGGUGAAAGCCUGUGGCUCAACCACAGAAUUGCCUUCGAUACUGUAGAGCUUGAGACCGGAAGAGGUAAGUGGAACUGCGAGUGUAGAGGUGAAAUUCGUAGAUAUUCGCAAGAACACCAGUGGCGAAGGCGGCUUACUGGUCCGGUUCUGACGCUGAGGCGCGAAAGCGUGGGGAGCAAACAGG
rnacentral:rRNA from 1 species